AUUGAACGCUGGCGGCAUGCUUUACACAUGCAAGUCGAACGGUAACAGGUUAAGCUGACGAGUGGCGAACGGGUGAGUAAUGCAUCGGAACGUGCCCGAUCGUGGGGGAUAACGCAGCGAAAGCUGCGCUAAUACCGCAUACGCCCUGAGGGGGAAAGCGGGGGAUCGUGAGACCUCGCGUGAUACGAGCGGCCGAUGUCGGAUUAGCUAGUUGGGGAGGUAAAGGCUCACCAAGGCAACGAUCCGUAGCUGGUCUGAGAGGACGACCAGCCACACUGGGACUGAGACACGGCCCAGACUCCUACGGGAGGCAGCAGUGGGGAAUAUUGGACAAUGGGCGCAAGCCUGAUCCAGCAAUGCCGCGUGCAGGAAGAAGGCCUUCGGGUUGUAAACUGCUUUUGUACGGAACGAAACGGUCUGGGUUAAUACCCUGGGCUAAUGACGGUACCGUAAGAAUAAGCACCGGCUAACUUCGUGCCAGCAGCCGCCGAAA
rnacentral:rRNA from 1 species